UAUUAGCCCCGAUAGAAGCGGCAUCCUUUUUUGUUGCAGGCGGAGCAAAGCGGAGACUGCAACAAAAAAGAUACAGCGGAUAGCGGGAAAAAGC
rfam:Chryseobacterium sp. Hurlburt 01 HurlbutContig25, whole genome shotgun sequence.